rnacentral:lncRNA from 1 species
CAAUUAUUACAUAUUGAGCUACCAAUCUCUUCAUUCGACAUGCCUCAGUAGGACUAGUCGGUAAGAUUAUGUUAGUCUAGAAUUCGAUAAAUGGAUCAAUCCAACUCGGUUCAUGACUGACUUAGACUUGUGAACUUUUUCUUCGAAGUCGAUACUUAGGUUCUCAAGAUGUUCCAUGAAGAUUUUUUCCUACUCACCGCAUCCUGAUGUCACG